rnacentral:tRNA from 1 species
AAUGGAUAAGGCGUCUGACUUCUAAUCAGAAGAUUGCAGGUUCGACCCCUGCCUGGGUCA